rnacentral:lncRNA from 1 species
GUGCAAAACAAAGAUUUAAAAUAAUUGACAGCAUGAUUAGCAAUGAGAGACUGAUCAGUGAGAGUAAUAUCUCCAUCCUUGAUUGAUGUGAUUAUUUUGGCGGUAUUUUUAAUUUUGGUGACUCUGUGGAAAUAUGCAGCGUUUCUAUCACCUUUUAAAUGCCAUUUCACUUUGGAUUUUUCUUGCCAGAAAAUUUCCUCUUUGUUCAGGGCAAUUUCUAAGUUUUUUUGUGCUUGUUUUUCAAGAAGGAUAUUGGCUUCAUUGUAACCUGAGGUUUGGAGUUGAA